CGGUGACUAAAUAUUAGGAUUUGUUGUUUUUUUAUUUUUUUUUAUUUUUUUUUUAUUUUUAAUUUUUAGUUUACUUUGAUUUAGUUUUUUAUUAUUAUCUUAUUUGAUUUUAUUCUUUUGGAAAAAUUAAAAAGAAAAAAAAGAAAAGAAAAGAAAAAAAGAAAAGAAUGAUAAUAAAAAAAGAGAAAGAAGAGGGAAACAUAAAAAAAAAAAGAAAAAGGAAAAAAGUUUGUUGUAAAAAAAGAACACGUUUUGGAAGGGGCACAGGGGGGACAUAACGGAUUUCAUCUCCUUCAAUCACACACACCACCACUAUGCUCUACAAAAAAAAACCAUAACAACCCCCAACCACAUUUUGGCCUUUCACUCCUAAUUCUUCCUUAUACGUUACUCACUCAAGGUUCCGACCCAAGGAGACUGGGAAAAACAUCACACACCUCCAAUGCCAUCAUCGUUCACACACAUGAUUCUCUAUCAACACCGACAACCAGUAUCCCCAUCUUCAUCUCGUUUCUCUCGGCCUAUGCAACUUUCAUGACAAACCUGCCUCCUUUUCACCAAUACACUGGCCUUUAGUUCAAUAACCAUACAACUUCCAAUUCCUCCGAUAGACCCAAACCAACAUUCACUCGCUACUUCCUCAGACACGGCCAGACCACACAACAAAAUUCAUCCUCCAUAAUUUCANGAUCACNUUCUUCCUUCCACUNAUGGGGACACACACCUCCAACACCCACGAUCUUCAUCCNAGCCCUNCAUAAUCUUUNGGGCANCAUUUUCCUUUUNUCUUCAUCAUUACCCUAGAUAAUUCAUCAAGCACAAUUGACAUUUACUCAUCACUAACAGAACCAUCACUAACCACGCUGCAUUGCUUCAACUAAUCACUUACUAGCCUCUGCUCAAUCAUUCUCCAUUCACCUCCAUUAACAUCCCCUAUCCACCUUUCACAGAAAGGCACAUCACACCACACCCAACACUACAAAACAUAUUAUCACCACCUUUCUUCCAAGCAUC
rnacentral:lncRNA from 1 species